UGGGGAAGUAUUGCACAAUGGGGGAAACCCUGAUGCAGCGACGCCGCGUGAGCGAAGAAGUAUUUCGGUAUGUAAAGCUCUAUCAGCAGGGAAGAAAAAAAUGACGGUACCUGAGUAAGAAGCACCGGCUAAAUACGUGCC
rnacentral:rRNA from 1 species